rfam:Triticum aestivum genome assembly, contig: Triticum_aestivum_CS42_TGACv1_scaffold_593245_7BS
CAUCUACUCCCUCCGUCCGAAAAUACUAGUCGAAGAAAUGGUUGUAUCUAGAAGUAUUUUAGUUUUACAUGCAACCAUUUUUAUCCAUUUUUAUGACAAGUAUUUUCGGACGGAGGGAGUAGUAU